rnacentral:lncRNA from 1 species
UAGAAAACCACGGACCCGAAAUUAAAUAGAGCCCCCCCCCGCACCCCUCCCUCUCUCUGCACCGCACCGGGUGCGCCCCACGCGCCUCUCGGGGCUCCGGUUACACCGCCGUCAAUGCCGGAUGGCCGCGAUAGGGUGCGGGAUCGCUGGGCUCGGGGAUUUUUUUUUUUAAUAGGGUUAAUGCAAUAUUAAUUGCUGGGAGCUGCUAUAAGAACGCGCCGCGUUUUCCCAGGAACAAAUCGAUGGAGCGCUGCGCUGCGCAGCGGGAGGAGGCGGAGGCGCGGCCCCAGGGCCGCCCGGCAAUGGCAGACGUGACUAAGUGUGAAAAGAAGACUGAGCUCCUGACCCAGGAUUCAGCCAUGACAAAACAGAAACAAAAGUGUGGGAGAGACUUCGUCUAGAAAUAGGUGAUCACUAUGCAGGGAUGCAAAAGAACAGUCAAAGAUGGCAGAACCACUUUAAGCUACAAAACAAACUUACUUGGCUCACAGAACGCUUAUGAUGCAUGUUAUGAUAUAUGAUGCAUGUUAUAUGAUGCUUAUAUUUGCAUAUUAAAGGUGUUGAAGGUAACUAAGGUAGAAAUUCAGAAUCCCUCAAUACAAACACCUGGUCUGUGAUGGGAAGGCUAAAUUUGUGAGGGGGAAUGUGGAAUGCAGGGCAGCCUGCAGCAGGCCCAGUCCCUCUCCACCCUGCCAUGGGUGCAUGCAGCCAACUCCGGGCUGCUACAGCUGUGCCAGCGUUCUGAGAGAUGUCUGAUGUAUGGCUGAACCUUGAGGGCUGUCACCUGGGGUGUGGAAGCCCACUUUGGUCCUGACAGGCUCAUUGUAUGCAGCUCAGGAGCCUCCCAUUGGUUUCACUGAUCUCCCCGCUGAUGAAGACCACGAUACAUUUCCAGCAUCCUUUUCCUUUGAAAAAAAAUAGUCAACUCAGCUCCCACUCCCAGUCCUGAAGAUAUUUCACUCCUGUCUAAUAUUAAGAAAUGUGCAGCAGGGACUGCAGAAAUGAAUCACACCAUUUGAUGGUGAGAUUAAAC